rnacentral:rRNA from 1 species
UGGGGAAUCUUGCACAAUGGGGGCAACCCUGAUGCAGCGACGCCGCGUGAGCGAUGAAGCCCUUCGGGGCGUAAAGCUCUUUCGACCGGAACGAUAAUGACGGUACCGGGAGAAGAAGCUGCGGCUAACUACGUGCCAGCAGCCGCGGUAAUACGUAGGCAGCAAGAGUUGUUCGGAGUUACUGGGCGUAAAGAGUGCGUAGGCGGUUUUCUAAGUUCGGUGUGAAAUCUCCCGGCUUAACUGGGAGGGUGCGCCGAAGGCUGGGAAGAUGGAGUGUGGGAAAGGCAGGCGGAAUUCCUGGUGUAGCGGUGAAAUGCGUAGAUAUCAGGAGGAACACCGGCGGUGUAGACGGCUUGCUAGACCAUAACUGACGCUGAGGCACGAAAGCGUGGGUAGCAAACA